AAACCAACUGGGAUUACCUUAGUAACGGCGAGUGAAGCGGUAAAAGCUCAAAUUUGAAAUCUGGUACUUUCAGUGCCCGAGUUGUAAUUUGUAGAAUUUGUCUUUGAUUAGGUCCUUGUCUAUGUUCCUUGGAACAGGACGUCAUAGAGGGUGAGAAUCCCGUUUGGCGAGGAUACCUUUUCUCUGUAAGACUUUUUCGAAGAGUCGAGUUGUUUGGGGAUGCAGCUCAAAGUGGGUGGUAAAUUCCAUCUAAAGCUAAAUAUUGGCGAGAGACCGAUAGCGAACAAGUACAGUGAUGGAAAGAUGAAAAGAACUUUGAAAAGAGAGUGAAAAAGUACGUGAAAUUGUUGAAAGGAAGGGCAUUUGAUCAGACAUGGUGUUUUUGCAUGCACUCGCCUCUCGUGGGCUUGGGCCUCUCAAAAAUUUCACUGGGCCAACAUCAAUUCUGGCAGCAGGAUAAAUCAUUAAGAAUGUAGCUACUUCGGUAGUGUUAUAGCUUUUUGGAAUACUGUUAGCCGGGAUUA
rnacentral:rRNA from 1 species